UCGAGAAUCUUUAGCAAUGGGCGAAAGCCUGACUAUGCGACGCCGCGUGAGGGAUGAAGGCCUUCGGGUCGUAAACCUCUUUCAAUUGGGAAGAAUAUCCUUGAUAAUAACAUUAUCAAGGACUGACGUUACCAAGAGAAGAAGCCAUGGCUAACUCCGUGCCAGCAGCCGCGGUAAUACGGAGAUGGCAAGCGUUACUCGGAUUCAUUGGGUGUAAAGGGCAGGUAGGUGUCCUAUUAAGUAAGAUGUGAAAUCCUUUGGCUCAAUCAAAGAACUGCAUCUUAAACUGUUAGGAUUGAGUGCGAAAGAGGAAAGCGGAAUUCUCAGUGUAAGGGUGAAAUCUGUAGAGAUCGAGAGGAACACCAGCAGCGAAGGCGGCUUUCUGGUUCGCAACUGACACUGAGCUGCGAAAGCUAGGGGAGCAAACAGG
rnacentral:rRNA from 1 species